GUAAGUAUAGUUUAACUUAAAACACUAGAUUGUGGUUCUAGAGACGGGGGUUAGACUCCCCUUACUCACC
rnacentral:tRNA from 1 species